rnacentral:rRNA from 1 species
AACGAACGCUGGCGGCUUGCCUAACACAUGCAAGUCGAACGAGAUCUUCGGGUCUAGUGGCGCACGGGUGCGUAACGCGUGGGAAUCUGCCCUUUGGUUCGGAAUAACAGUUGGAAACGACUGCUAAUACCGGAUGAUGACGAAAGUCCAAAGAUUUAUCGCCAGAGGAUGAGCCCGCGUAGGAUUAGCUAGUUGGUGUGGUACAGGCGCACCAAGGCGACGAUCCUUAGCUGGUCUGAGAGGAUGAUCAGCCACACUGGGACUGAGACACGGCCCAGACUCCUACGGGAGGCAGCAGUGGGGAAUAUUGGACAAUGGGCGAAAGCCUGAUCCAGCAAUGCCGCGUGAGUGAUGAAGGCCUUAGGGUUGUAAAGCUCUUUUACCCGGGAUGAUAAUGACAGUACCGGGAGAAUAAGCUCCGGCUAACUCCGUGCCAGCCGCCGCGGUAA